rnacentral:rRNA from 1 species
AAACCGUUCAGGAGUAAACCUGAGAAACCCAAAAGUUCGAACGGGGAGAUUCACCGUCAGCGGAGCAGGCUUCGCGGAGGUGCGUGAUGUCGCGGCGACCUCGGUCGCGCUUCACUCGUCCUCUGCGCAUGUCCGGCGACGUCGGCGUGCACUUCUCCUCUAGUAGGACGUCGCGACUCGUUGGGUGCCGGCCUAUGGCCUCGGGGUGCUGCCCGUCGCGCCGCUUCGGCGCGCGCGAUGAACCCCCGGGCGCCCGACGGUACGCACAACGGUAUCGGGCCGCCAUUAUUCGACAAGGCGUCGGGCCCGCCGCAAGAGAGUCAGGAUUUCGAAAAGCCGGUGGUAAGUCGGACCUAGCGCCGUCCCCCGACUUGACACUCUGCUGGCCGGCGUGGACCUCCGACGGGCCGAAACGUGAACGAUCAGCGACGCUAUUGCUUUGGGUACUCUCAGGACCCGUCUUGAAACACGGACCAAGGAGUCUAACAUGUACGCGAGUCAUUGGGGGUCACCGAGGGAGGAUGGGCCGCGUCACGAUGCGGUUCCGCACUCCCGGGGCGCCUCGUUCUCAUUGCGAGAUGAGGCGCACCCAGAGCGUACACGUUGG